UAGAUAUGUCUGUGAGGGUGUUCCAGAAGAGACUGGCAUUUGAAUAACUGGACUAGGAAGAUCCCUCCUCACCCAGUGCAGGCCCAUACCAUCCAGUUGACUGAGGGCCUGACAGAACAAAAAGGCAGAAGAAAGGCAAAUUUGCUCACUCUCUCUUCUGGAACUGGGACACCCAUCUUCUCCUGCCCUUGGACAUCAGAACUCCCGGGCCUUUGGACUCCAGGACUUGCACCAGAUACUCCCCAAUUUUCAAGCUGUCAGCUUAGGACUGAGAGUUACACCGUUGGCUCCCCUGGUCCUCAGGCCCUUGGAUUUGGACUGAGCCAUGCUACCAUCUUCCCUUGUUCUUCAGCUUGCAGACAGGAUAUUGUGGGACUUCUCAGCCUCCAUAAUCAAGUGAACCAAUUCCCGAAUCGGGUUCAUCCAAUGGGAGGCAUCAGCAACAGAAGACCAGAAGAAGGUACACUUACUUGACCAGAUACCUCCUUGUUAGCAGUAAAUGCACAGCAACAUUUCUCUACCAAAGAUCGC
rnacentral:lncRNA from 1 species